UACGGAGGGAGCUAGCGUUGUUCGGAAUUACUGGGCGUAAAGCGCACGUAGGCGGCUACUCAAGUCAGAGGUGAAAGCCCAGGGCUCAACCUUGGAACUGCCUUUGAAACUAGGUAGCUAGAAUUCUGGAGAGGUCAGUGGAAUUCCGAGUGUAGAGGUGAAAUUCGUAGAUAUCUGGAGGAACACCAGCGGCGAAGGCGGCGUCCUGGACUGGUCCUGACACUCAGGAGCGAAAGCGUGGGGAGCGAUCCGG
rnacentral:rRNA from 1 species